rfam:Nomascus leucogenys chromosome 11, whole genome shotgun sequence.
AGCUUUGCGCAGUGGCAGUAUCGUAGCCAAUGAGGUUUAUCCGAGGCGCGAUUAUUGCUAAUUGAAAAAUUUUCCAAAAUAUAGUAAUUAAGAAAAUUACUCCCUUAUCACAAACCCUUGUAGCAGAGCACAUCU